rnacentral:lncRNA from 1 species
CACGAAGCCCCGGUCGCCGGCGGCCUCGCUGCUCGCGGGUGUUUUGAAGGAACCCAGCAGCUUCUCCAACAAGAAGCAGGAACCGGUGGAAUUCCGGUGGUAGAAGCCGACGCAAGAGCAGUUCUGCGAGCAGAGGCUCUCGCAGGUCAGGAAAUUGACUCCAAUGGCCGCCGCCGUCGAGAAUCUCUUGGCGAAGUAGUCGAUCCCCGCCGGCAGGCCGUAGUAACUCGGGGUGGUCUUGCCGCAGGACGACGGCGACGGCAGCCGGGAGCCGUCGGAGGGCACACAGCGGCCUUCUUUGCUGGAGAAUCCCUGCAGGCAGGGGCAGGAGUUCUGCCCCUCUGCGCAGACGGCGAGGGCGGGGCAGUUCAGCGGAAGAUCGCAGUCGUCGGCGG